AUUGAACGCUGGCGGCAGGCUUAACACAUGCAAGUCGAGCGAGCGGCGGACGGGUGAGUAAUGUAUGGGGACUGCCCGACAGCGGGGGGUGACAACUGGAAACGGUAGCUAAUACCGCAGACUAUCUGAUAUAACAUAUGGGAUUAGCUAGUAGGUGAGGUAAUGGCUCACCUAGGAGACGAUCCCUAGCUGGUCUGAGAGGAUGAUCAGCCACACUGGGACUGAGACACGGCCCAGACUACUACGGAGGCAGCAGUGGGGAAUAUUGCACAAUGGGCGCAAGCCUGAUGCAGCCAUGCCGCGUGUAUGAAGAAGGCCCUAGGGUUGUAAAGUACUUUCAGUCGGGAGGCGUUACCGACAGAAGAAGCACCGGCUAACUCCGUGCCAGCCGCCGCGGUAAUUC
rnacentral:rRNA from 1 species